rnacentral:lncRNA from 1 species
AGCACAUGAUUUUUUUCCAAGUUUUAGAUAUGCUGGUACAUCAGUGUCCACAUUCCACCCGUUUGCAAAUUCAGUGAACCAAAUUCCAUUUUUCUUUCUAAUCAAAAGACCACUGAUGUACCUAAGCAUUUUCUUGCGGUAACACUGCCAGCUUAAGCUGACCCGCACCCCAUGACUCCCAGCCUUCCCCUGUUCCUAAUACAUACUGGCCCAGUACAAUUGUUCUUGGCACUGUAUCCUGACCUGGAUGAAGGCAUGGAUCCAGAUUAAAAGUAAGUACUUUUCUGGAUUGCUUUCAUCCUGUAUCAUUUCACUGAUCUGGCUCCCCAUGGUACCCCUGAGCAGUUGGUGGCUUAACGGACAGGGUGGCACGGUGAUGAAUACAAACUGCUCAAGCCAGUACUGCCACCAAAAGAAAUGUCUACUAAACUACAGGUUUUAGAUAUAUACCAAAUCCAGUUAGCAGCUUCUUACUGCCACUCUGGGAGGUGUUUUCUUUAAGAGCAGACUGUCAAUAUCCUGUUUACUCUUCACUUCAGAAAGGCGGGUUUUUGUUUGCUCGCUUUAGCAUGACAAACUAUGCUGCUAUUGCCAAACUACAAGCAAGAGAGAGCGACACCCUGGGGUGUCAGCCAGAGGCAACAGGCUGGUUUGCAGCCUAGACGUGUUUCUACCCACCACAUCAAUACCAUGGACCUGGUUUUCCUGGCAGAAUUUAUGGAAGAAUUUAAUGAAAAACAGAAGUUAUUCAGUAGAAAAGAAAUAAAGAUCAUUCUAGAUAUGAACUAAUUAUCUCAGAGACAGAGCAAGAUGAAGAAAUAAAGGUCAGAUUUGGAAGAGGGAUGAAUAGAUA